rnacentral:rRNA from 1 species
UACAGAGGGUGCAAGCGUUGUUCGGAAUUAUUGGGCGUAAAGGGAGUGUAGGCGGUUUGCUAAGUCUUCUGUGAAAUCUACGGGCUCAGCCUGUAACGUGCAGAGGAAACUGACAGACUUGAGUGUCGGAGAGGAUAGUGGAAUUCCCGGUGUAGAGGUGAAAUUCGUAGAGAUCCGGAGGGAGACCGGUGGCGAAGGCGGUCUGCUGGGCAGUUUCUGACACUGAUGCGCGACAGCGUGGGGAGCAAACAGG